CGUUUUCCUAUUAGGCGGCGCCAUUUUGUGCUCAGAACCGCUACAGCCGCUGGCUGUGUCGGGAGCAGGUGGCUGAGACGGGGAAACUCGGGAUGGCGGAGGCUCUGGCAGGGUCCGGCGACUCGAGUUCUGGCACAGCUACAGUUGGUCCGGGAGCCUCGGAGACCGGGACGAGGCGGCUCAGCGAACUGCGGGUGAUCGACUUGCGGGCGGAGCUGAAGAAGCGGAACCUGGACACGGGCGGCAACAAGAGCGUCCUGAUGGAGCGACUCAAAAAGGCAGUUAAGGAAGAAGGGCAGGAUCCUGAUGAAAUUGGCAUCACAUUGGAAGCCACAAACAAGAAGACAGCAAAGCGAUGUGUUAAAGGACAGAAGACAGAGGAAGAAGGCACAGAAGACAAUGGCCUAGAAGAGGAUUCCAGAGAUGGGCAGGAGGAUAUGGAAGCAAGUUUGGAGAGCUUGCAGAAUAUUGACAUGAUGGACGUUAGUGUGUUAGAAGAGUCUGAAAUGGACAACAGCAGUGCUCCAGACUUUGGGGAGGAUGGCACGGACAGCAUCCUCGAUUCCCUUUGUGAUAGCAAAGAGUAUGUGGCUUCACAGCUGAACGAGCUCCCAGCUCAGCUCACAGAACAUGCUGUAGACGGGGAAGGCUUCGAGAGCACUUUGGAUGCUUCAUCGUUGGACUUCAAGGUACCUUCGGAUAUUGAAGAACCACUAUUGGAGCCAGAAAAUGAGAAAAUACUCGACAUUUUGGGGGAAACUUGUAAAUCUGAGCCAGUAAAAGAAGAAGGUUCCGAGCUGGAGCAGCCAUUUGCACAGGAUACAAGUAGCGUGGGGCCAGACAGAAAGCUUGCGGAGGAAGAGGACCUUUUUGGCAGCGGUCAUCCGGAGGAGGGUGAUUUAGAUUUGGCCAGCGAGUCAACAGCACAAGCUCAGUGGAGCAAGGCAGACACCCUGUUAGCGGUAGUGAAAAGGGAGCCCGUGGAGCAGACAGGCGGUGACGAGAGGACGGACUGUGAGCCUGUAGGGCUAGAGGAGCCAGUUGAGCAGAGUAGUAAAGCCUCAGAACACGCAGAAGCCUCUAGCGAGGAGGUCGCGGAAGCGCCCCGGGAAGCCUCAAGCCCAGACCCCAGAGAUAGCAAAGAAGACGUGAAGAAGUUUGCUUUUGAAGCUUGUAAUGAAGUCCCUCCGGCUCCUAAAGAGUCCUCAGCCAGUGAGGGCGCUGAUCAGAAAAUGAGUUCUUUUAAGGAAGAAAAAGAUAUAAAGCCAAUCAUUAAAGAUGAAAAAGGUCGUAUCAGCAGCAGUUCUGGUAGGAAUCUGUGGGUCAGUGGACUAUCCUCCACAACUCGAGCGACAGAUCUGAAGAACCUUUUCAGCAAGUAUGGAAAGGUUGUCGGGGCCAAAGUAGUGACCAACGCACGCAGUCCUGGGGCUCGGUGCUAUGGUUUUGUCACCAUGUCGACAUCCGAUGAGGCUACGAAGUGUAUCAGCCAUCUUCACAGAACUGAGCUUCAUGGAAGAAUGAUCUCCGUAGAGAAGGCCAAAAACGAACCUGCUGGGAAAAAGCUGUCUGACAAAAAGGAGUGUGAAGUGAAGAAGGAAAAAGUAUCUAGUGUUGACAGACAUCAUUCUGUGGAGAUCAAAAUUGAAAAAACUGUAAUUAAGAAGGAAGAGAAGAUUGAGAAAAAGGAGGGGAAAAAGCCUGAAGACAUUAAAAAGGAAGAAAAAGAAGAAGAUGAGCUGAAACCAGGAACCACAAAUCGGUCCAGAGUCACCAAAUCAGUGGAAAAAAUAUCCUUAGGAAGCAGAGGAAUGGAACGGACGGUCGUAAUGGAUAAAUCAAAAGGAGAACCUGUAAUUAGUGUGAAAACCACAAGCAGGUCCAAAGAAAGAAGCUCCAAGAGUCAAGAUCGCAAAUCUGAAAGCAAAGAGAAGAGAGACAUUUUGUCAUUUGACAAAAUCAAAGAGCAAAGGGAGCGAGAGCGCCAGAGGCAGUGGGAGCGGGAAAUCCGAGAGUCGGAGAGGCGGAGAGAGCGGGAGCAACGGGAGCGGGAGCAGCGCCUGGAGGCCUGGAAGGAGAAGGCACGGCUGCAGCGGGAGCGCCUGGAGCUUGAAUGUCAACGUCACCUCCUAGAGCGCGAGCGCAUGGAGCGAGAGCGGCUAGAACGCGAGCGCAUGCGUGUGGAGCGGGAGCGCAGGAAGGAGCAGGAGCGCAUUCAUCGGGAGCGUGAGGAACUGCGGCGCCAGCAGGAGCAGCUGCGCUAUGAGCAGGAGCGCCGGCAAGGACUCAGGAGGCCCCAUGAUGAUGGGAGGCGAGAUGAUGCCUAUUGGCCAGAAGGAAAACGUGCAGCCCUGGAGGACCGGUACCGCCCAGAUUUCCCUCGGUAUGAUCACCGCUUCCACGACUUCGACCAUCGAGACCGAGGCCAGUACCAGGACCAUGUAGUCGACAGGAGAGAAGGCUCAAGGUCAGUGCUGGGAGAGCGAGAUGGACAGCACUAUUCAGAUGACCGCCAUGGCCAUGGAGGGCCACCAGAGCGCCAUGGCCGGGACUCUCGAGAUGGCUGGGGAGGCUACGGCUCAGACAAAAGGAUGAGCGAGGGCCGUGGGCUGCCACCUCCACCCAGGGGUGGACGUGACUGGACAGAGCACAGUCAGAGGCUAGAAGAGCACCAGGAGCGUGCCUGGCCGGGCAUGGUAGACACAGGCACAGCAGGCCGGGAGCAUGCCAGGUGGCUAGGUGGUGAGAGGGGCCUCUCUGGGCCCUCAGGGCCAGGACACAUGGCCAAUCGGGGUGGAAUGUCGGGGGAUGCAACUUCUGGGUAAAUUGAGAGGAUUGCUCAUUGUUCAGUACAGAAUCUUACCAAGAGUGCACCAUUUCUCUGAGCAGAGCUGCUGGGGUCUCGAUUCCUCCCCAUGAUUCUGUCUGAUGGGCACCGUCUGAAUAGGAGAGAAAAGGAAGGUUGAACAAAAUAUCUGUUAUAAAAGGGGCUGCAAAUGGACACUCGGGUUAUUUCCACGUGGACUUUUGGCUCCUGUGAACAAUGCUGCCAUGAAGACGGGUGUAUGGGUUUGUCAUUCUCCUGGGUGAGACCUAGGAAUGGAAUUGCUGGGUCAGUCGGUAACUCUGUUUAACUUUGAGGAACCACCGCCUGUUACCUACAGCGGUGGCACCAUUUUUCAUUCCCACCAGCCAUGCACAAGCAUUCUGAUUUCUCCACAUCCCUGCCGGCA